GACGAACGCUGGCGGCGUGCUUAACACAUGCAAGUCGAACGGAAAGGCCCUGCUUUUGUGGGGUGCUCGAGUGGCGAACGGGUGAGUAACACGUGAGUAACCUGCCCUUGACUUUGGGAUAACUUCAGGAAACUGGGGCUAAUACCGGAUAGGAGCUCCUGCUGCAUGGUGGGGGUUGGAAAGUUUCGGCGGUUGGGGAUGGACUGGCGGCUUAUCAGCUUGUUGGUGGGGUAGUGGCUUACCAAGGUUUUGACGGGUAGCCGGCCUGAGAGGGUGACCGGCCACAUUGGGACUGAGGUACGGCGCAGACUCCUACGGGAGGCAGCAGUGGGGAAUAUUGCACAAUGGGCGGAAGCCUGAUGCAGCAACGCCGCGUGCGGGAUGACGGCCUUCGGGUUGUAAACCGCUUUCGCCUGUGACGAAGCGUGAGUGACGGUAAUGGGUAAAGAAGCACCGGCUAACUACGUG
rnacentral:rRNA from 1 species